rnacentral:rRNA from 1 species
GGGUGAGUACACGUAGGCAACCUGCCCUCAAGACUGGGAUAACCUCCGGAAACGGAUGCUAAUACCGGAUAUGCGGUUUCUCCACCUGGAGAGAUCGGGAAAGACGGAGCAAUCUGUCGCUUGGGGAUGGGCCUGCGGCGCAUUAGCUAGUUGGUGAGGUAACGGCUCACCAAGGCGACGAUGCGUAGCCGACCUGAGAGGGUGAUCGGCCACACUGGGACUGAGACACGGCCCAGACUCCUACGGGAGGCAGCAGUAGGGAAUCUUCCGCAAUGGACGCAAGUCUGACGGAGCAACGCCGCGUGAGUGAGGAAGGCCUUCGGGUCGUAAAGCUCUGUUGCCAGGGAAGAACGGGUGGAAGAGUAACUGCUUCCGCCAUGACGGUACCUGAGAAGAAAGCCCCGGCUAACUACGUGCCAGCAGCCGCGGUAAUACGUANGGGGCNAGCGUUGUCCGGAAUUANNGGGCGUAAGGCGCGC